rnacentral:rRNA from 1 species
UACGUAGGGUGCGAGCGUUGUCCGGAAUUAUUGGGCGUAAAGAGCUUGUAGGCGGUUUUUCGCGUCUGCUGUGAAAAUCCGGGGCUCAACCCCGGACUUGCAGUGGGUACGGGCAGACUAGAGUGUGGUAGGGGAGACUGGAAUUCCUGGUGUAGCGGUGAAAUGCGCAGAUAUCAGGAGGAACACCGAUGGCGAAGGCAGGUCUCUGGGCCACUACUGACGCUGAGAAGCGAAAGCAUGGGGAGCGAACAGG